rnacentral:rRNA from 1 species
GUUGAUCCUGCCGGAGGGUAUCGCUAUUGGGAUUCGACUAAGCCAUGCAAGUCUUUGGAAGUUUACUUCCAAGGCGAACUGCUGAGUAACACGUAGUUAACUUGCCCUUAGGUCAAGAAUAACCUCGGGAAACUGAGAAUAAUACUUGAUAUGAAAUUUGUUCUGGAAUGACUUUUUUCUUAAAGCUUCGGCGCCUAAGGAUAGGACUGCGGUGGAUUAGGUUGAUGUUAGGGUAAAAGCCUAACAUGCCUACAAUCUAUAGGGGCCUUGAGAGAGGGAGCCCCCAGAUGGCUUCUGAGACACUAAGCCAGAUCCUACGGGAUGCAGCAGGCGCGAAACCUUUACAAUGCACGCAAGUGUGAUAAGGGAAUCCCAAGUGCUGGCGUACUUCGUCAGCUUUUAUGUAGUGUAAAUAGCUAUAUGAAUAAGUGGUGGGUAAUACCGUUGCCAGCCGCCGCGGUAAUAACGGAGCCACGAGUGGUACCCGGUUAUAUUGGGCUUAAAGCGUUCGUAGCCGGUUUAAUCAGUUCUCUAUGAAAUCUUAUUGAAAACAAUAAGGCGUGUGGAGAAUACUGUUAGACUUGAGAUUGGGAGGAGUUAGAGGUAUUCCUGGGGUAACGGUGGAAUGUUGUAAUCCCAGGGAGACCACCUGUGGCGGAAGCGUCUAACUAGAACAAAUCUGGCGGUGAGGAACGAAAGCUAGGGGAGCGACACGGAUUAGAUACCCGUUUAGUCCUAGCUGUUAACGAUGCUCGCUUGGUAUUGGAAAUCUUUCGAGGAUUUCCAGUGCCGUAGGGAAACCGAUAAGCGAGCCGCCUGGGGAGUACGGUCGCAAGGCUGAAACUUAAAGGAAUUGGCGGGGGAGCACCACAAGGAGUGACGUCUGCGGUUUAAUUGGAUUACACGCCGGAAACCUUACCAGAGGCGACAGCAGUGUGAUGGUCAGUCUAAAGGGCUUACCUGACGCGCUGAGAGGUGUUGCAUGGCCGACGUCAGCUCGUGCCGUGAGGCGUCCUGUUAAGUCAGGUAACGAGCGAGACCCGUGCCCUAUGUUGCUAACUUGUUCUCCGGAACAAGUGCACUCAUAGGGGAUUGCAUGCGAUAAGUGUGAUGAAAGUGCGGGCUACGUUAGGUCUGUAUGGCCCGAAUCUUCUGGGCUACACGCGGGCGGCAAUGGUACGGACAAUGAGAUGCUACUCCGAAAGGAGACGCAAAUCCCCUAAACCGUGCCUUAGUUCAGAUCGAGGAUUGCAACUCAUCCUCGUGACGCUGGAAUUCCUAGUAGUCGAAGGUUAGCAUACUUCGGCGAAUACGUCCCUGCUCCUUGCACACACCGCCCAUCAAACCACCUGAAUUGGUCUUAGAUGAGGCCAUAGUUUACUAUGGUCGAAUCCGGGGUCAGUAAGGGGGGUUAAGUUGUACC